GCAGGUAUGGCGGAAUAGGCAGACGCGCAUGGUUCAGGUCCAUGUGAGCAUUGCGCUCAUGCAGGUUCAACUCCUGUUACCUGCACCA
rnacentral:tRNA from 2 species